rnacentral:lncRNA from 1 species
ACACUGGACGUCCUUGGAGUCCUUUGUCUUUGCUGCCCAGAGCAGCUUAGAUCAGCCCAAGACUCAGUUUCUCUCAAGUCUCUGACUCUGUUUCUUUUAAUUCCCACUUUCCUAUCUCGAGGAUGUCGUACUGGCUUGCAGGAGCCCCGGACCGCUGCAGGGGUCUCUGGCAACUCCCAUUACCCUUUCCCUGUACAGAAGCCAUCAAAUUCCCCCUCCCAUGAACUUGGAAAUUAGACUCACUUUGCUAUUCAACUCCACUGAUUACAUAAACCAACAUGCACAGAGAGAAGCAAAAAUAAGAAGCCAGCCACCCUGGAGAUGCCAAAGGAAAGAAGCCUUCCCCAAGGGCACCUGCUUGGCAAGGCUUGAUCUGGGCAGCCAGUGCAGGCCUGAGACUCAAGGACUGUGGUGGAGCCGUGGUGAAGCAGGAGGUGCCCAGAAGAGACUCAGGAGGUGCUACCCUCCCACAGCAGUUCCAACCUCUGCUUGCCUUAUGUUGGGACCGCCCCCCCCAACACCUGGUUUCCCAUUUGCCUCUGACCACAUCUCUCUCCUCCACCCUAAAAAUUCCUAA